AUGACAACAAUGGAUAAUACUCCUCAGGGCGAGCUGGUUUUACGUACAUUGGCCAUGCCUGCCGAUACCAAUACGAACGGCGAUAUUUUUGGCGGCUGGCUGAUGUCGCAAAUGGAUAUUGGCGGCGUGUGGUUAAUAACCGCAGCAAUUGACGUUACCCGCAGAAGAAGCACCGGCUAACUCCGUGCCAGCAGCCGCGGUAAUACGGAGGGUGCAAGCGUUAAUCGGAAUUACUGGGCGUAAAGCGCACGCAG
rnacentral:rRNA from 1 species